rnacentral:rRNA from 1 species
AGUGAACGCUGGCGGUAGGCCUAACACAUGCAAGUCGAACGGCAGCACAGCAGUAGCAAUACUGUGGGUGGCGAGUGGCGGACGGGUGAGGAAUACAUCGGAAUCUACCUUUUCGUGGGGGGAUAACGUAGGGAAACUUACGCUAAUACCGCAUAAGACCUUCGGGUGAAAGCCGGGGACCUUCGGGCCUGGCGCGGAUA